UUGUGUGUGAGGAGCAAUUUGAAAGCAAAAAGCACUUGGGGUGGAAACACGGCAACACUCCCAGGUGCUUUUUAAU
rfam:Nostoc sp. PCC 7524, complete genome.